rnacentral:rRNA from 1 species
UACGUAGGGCGCAAGCGUUGUCCGGAAUUAUUGGGCGUAAAGAGCUCGUAGGCGGCUUGUCACGUCGGGUGUGAAAGCCCGGGGCUUAACCCCGGGUCUGCAUUCGAUACGGGCUAGCUAGAGUGUGGUAGGGGAGAUCGGAAUUCCUGGUGUAGCGGUGAAAUGCGUAGAUAUCGGAAGGAACACCGGUGGCGAAAGCGGCGCGCUGGACCUCUUCUGACGCUGAGGCGCGAAAGCCAGGGGAGCAAACGGG